CCUACGGGUGGCUGCAGUGGGGAAUAUUGGACAAUGGGGGCAACCCUGAUCCAGCCAUGCCGCGUGUGCGAAGAAGGCCCUCGGGUUGUAAAGCACUUUCAGUGAGGAAGAACGCCUGGUGGUUAAUACCCAUCAGGAAAGACAUCACUCACAGAAGAAGCACCGGCUAACUCCGUGCCAGCAGCCGCGGUAAUACGGAGGGUGCGAGCGUUAAUCGGAAUUACUGGGCGUAAAGCGCGCGUAGGUGGCUUGAUAAGCCGGUUGUGAAAGCCCCGGGCUCAACCUGGGAACGGCAUCCGGAACUGUCAAGCUAGAGUGCAGGAGAGGAAGGUAGAAUUCCCGGUGUAGCGGUGAAAUGCGUAGAGAUCGGGAGGAAUACCAGUGGCGAAGGCGGCCUUCUGGACUGACACUGACACUGAGGUGCGAAAGCGUGGGUAGCAAACAGGAUUAGAUACCCUAGUAGUC
rnacentral:rRNA from 1 species